UGGGGAAUAUUGCACAAUGGGCGCAAGCCUGAUGCAGCCAUGCCGCGUGUAUGAAGAAGGCCUUCGGGUUGUAAAGUACUUUCAGCGAGGAGGAAGGCGUUGUGGUUAAUAACCGCAACGAUUGACGUUACUCGCAGAAGAAGCACCGGCUAACUCCGUGCCAGCAGCCGCGGUAAUACGGAGGGUGCAAGCGUUAAUCGGAAUUACUGGGCGUAAAGCGCACGCAGGCGGUCUGUCAAGUCGGAUGUGAAAUCCCCGGGCUCAACCUGGGAACUGCAUCCGAAACUGGCAGGCUAGAGUCUUGUAGAGGGGGGUAGAAUUCAAGGUGUAGCGGUGAAAUGCGUAGAGAUCUGGAGGAAUACCGGUGGCGAAGGCGGCCCCCUGGACAAAGACUGACGCUCAGGUGCGAAAGCGUGGGGAGCAAACA
rnacentral:rRNA from 1 species